rnacentral:rRNA from 1 species
UACGGGGGGGGCAAGCGUUGUUCGGAAUUACUGGGCGUAAAGGGCUCGUAGGCGGCCAACUAAGUCAGACGUGAAAUCCCUCGGCUUAACCGGGGAACUACGUCUGAUACUGGAUGGCUUGAGUUCGGGAGAGGGAUGCGGAAUUCCAGGUGUAGCGGUGAAAUGCGUAGAUAUCUGGAGGAACACCGGUGGCGAAGGCGGCAUCCUGGACCGAUACUGACGCUGAGGAGCGAAAGCCAGGGGAGCAAACGGG